UACGGAGGGUGCAAGCGUUAAUCGGAAUUACUGGGCGUAAAGCGCGCGUAGGCGGCUGGAUAAGUCGAUUGUGAAAGCCCCGGGCUCAACCUGGGAAUUGCAGUCGAGACUGUUCGGCUAGAGUGUGGGAGAGGGUGGUGGAAUUCCCGGUGUAGCGGUGAAAUGCGUAGAUAUCGGGAGGAACAUCAAUGGCGAAGGCGACCACCUGGCCCAACACUGACGCUGAGGUGCGAAAGCGUGGGUAGCAAACAGG
rnacentral:rRNA from 1 species